rnacentral:tRNA from 2 species
GUUCUUUUAGUAUUAAUCAGUACAACUGACUUCCAAUCAGUUAGUUUCGGGCUAGACCGAAAAAGAACA